CCUACGGGAGGCAGCAGUAGGGAAUCUUCCACAAUGGGCGAAAGCCUGAUGGAGCAACGCCGCGUGGGUGAAGAAGGUCUUCGGAUCGUAAAACCCUGUUGUUAGAGAAGAAAGUGCGUGAGAGUAACUGUUCACGUUUCGACGGUAUCUAACCAGAAAGCCACGGCUAACUACGUGCCAGCAGCCGCGGUAAUACGUAGGUGGCAAGCGUUAUCCGGAUUUAUUGGGCGUAAAGGGAACGCGGGCGGUCUUUUAAGUCUGAUGUGAAAGCCUUCGGCUUAACCGGAGUAGUGCAUUGGAAACUGGGAGACUGGAGUGCAGAAGAGGAGAGUGGAACUCCAUGUGUAGCGGUGAAAUGCGUAGAUAUAUGGAAGAACACCAGUGGCGAAAGCGGCUCUCUGGUCUGUAACUGACGCUGAGGUUCGAAAGCGUGGGUAGCAAACAGGAUUAGAUACCCCUGUAGUC
rnacentral:rRNA from 1 species